rnacentral:rRNA from 1 species
UAAGUCUCAGUUCGGAUUGAAGGCUGAAAUUGCCUUCAUGAAGCUGGAAUUGCUAGUAAUGGCAGGUCAGCAUACUGCCGUGAAUACGUUCCCGGGCCUUGUACACACCGCCCGUCACACCAUGAGAGUUGGGGAUACCCGAAGCCUGUGAGCUAACUGUAAAGAGGCAGCAGUCGAAGGUAGAAUCAAUGAUUGGGGUGAAGUCGUAACAAGGUAAC